GGUUAAGCGACUAAGCGUACACGGUGGAUGCCCUGGCAGUCAGAGGCGAUGAAGGGCGUGCUAAUCUGCGAUAAGCGCCGGUAAGGUGAUAUGAACCGUUAUAACCGGCGAUACCCGAAUGGGGAAACCCAGUGUGAUUCGUCACACUAUCAUUAACUGAAUCCAUAGGUUAAUGAGGCGAACCGGGGGAACUGAAACAUCUAAGUACCCCGAGGAAAAGAAAUCAACCGAGAUUCCCCCAGUAGCGGCGAGCGAACGGGGAGGAGCCCAGAGCCUGAAUCAGCAUGUGUGUUAGUGGAAGCGUCUGGAAAGGCGCGCGAUACAGGGUGACAGCCCCGUACACAAAAGCGCAUGUGCUGUGAGCUCGAUGAGUAGGGCGGGACACGUGGUAUCCUGUCUGAAUAUGGGGGGACCAUCCUCCAAGGCUAAAUACUCCUGACUGACCGAUAGUGAACCAGUACCGUGAGGGAAAGGCGAAAAGAACCCCGGCGAGGGGAGUGAAAAAGAACCUGAAACCGUGUACGUACAAGCAGUGGGAGCCCCACCACUAAGCCAGUGGUGAACUCCACAUCCGCAUCCUUUGCUGAGGAUACGGUUAACGGAGCGAAAGCGACGUUCAACCGCAAAACAAGCAGAGGGGGCUUAGUGGUGGGGUGACUGCGUACCUUUUGUAUAAUGGGUCAGCGACUUAUAUUCUGUAGCAAGGUUAACCGAAUAGGGGAGCCGGAGGGAAACCGAGUCUUAAUUGGGCGUUAAGUUGCAGGGUAUAGACCCGAAACCCGGUGAUCUAGCCAUGGGCAGGUUGAAGGUUGGGUAACACUAACUGGAGGACCGAACCGACUAAUGUUGAAAAAUUAGCGGAUGACCUGUGGCUGGGGGUGAAAGGCCAAUCAAACCGGGAGAUAGCUGGUUCUCCCCGAAAGCUAUUUAGGUAGCGCCUCGUGAAUUCAUCUCCGGGGGUAGAGCACUGUUUCGGCUAGGGGGCCAUCCCGGCUUACCAACCCGAUGCAAACUGCGAAUACCGGAGAAUGUUAUCACGGGAGACACACGGCGGGUGCUAACGUCCGUCGUGAAGAGGGAAACAACCCAGACCGCCAGCUAAGGUCCCAAAGUCAUGGUUAAGUGGGAAACGAUGUGGGAAGGCCCAGACAGCCAGGAUGUUGGCUUAGAAGCAGCCAUCAUUUAAAGAAAGCGUAAUAGCUCACUGGUCGAGUCGGCCUGCGCGGAAGAUGUAACGGGGCUAAACCAUGCACCGAAGCUGCGGCAGCGAACGUAUCACUUAAAGCGAUUCAGCGGGUUACGAUUGACGGAGCGAAGCGACGUCAAAGCGUAUACAAAGUCGAGUCGGUUUAAGGAUACGUUCGUUGGGUAGGGGAGCGUUCUGUAAGCCCGUGAAGGUGGCCUGUGAGGGUUGCUGGAGGUAUCAGAAGUGCGAAUGCUGACAUAAGUAACGAUAAAGCGGGUGAAAAGCCCGCUCGCCGGAAGACCAAGGGUUCCUGUCCAACGUUAAUCGGGGCAGGGUGAGUCGACCCCUAAGGCGAGGCCGAAAGGCGUAGUCGAUGGGAAACGGGUUAAUAUUCCCGUACUUGGUGUUACUGCGAAGGGGGGACGGAGAAGGCUAUGUUGGCCGGGCGACGGUUGUCCCGGUUUAAGCGUGUAGGUGUGUGUUCCAGGUAAAUCCGGUUCACUUUAACACUGAGGCGUGACGACGAGGCACUACGGUGCUGAAGCAACAAAUGCCCUGCUUCCAGGAAAAGCCUCUAAGCAUCAGGUAACAUCAAAUCGUACCCCAAACCGACACAGGUGGUCAGGUAGAGAAUACCAAGGCGCUUGAGAGAACUCGGGUGAAGGAACUAGGCAAAAUGGUGCCGUAACUUCGGGAGAAGGCACGCUGACACGUAGGUGAAGUGAUUUACUCAUGGAGCUGAAGUCAGUCGAAGAUACCAGCUGGCUGCAACUGUUUAUUAAAAACACAGCACUGUGCAAACACGAAAGUGGACGUAUACGGUGUGACGCCUGCCCGGUGCCGGAAGGUUAAUUGAUGGGGUCAGCGCAAGCGAAGCUCCUGAUCGAAGCCCCGGUAAACGGCGGCCGUAACUAUAACGGUCCUAAGGUAGCGAAAUUCCUUGUCGGGUAAGUUCCGACCUGCACGAAUGGCGUAAUGAUGGCCAGGCUGUCUCCACCCGAGACUCAGUGAAAUUGAACUCGCUGUGAAGAUGCAGUGUACCCGCGGCAAGACGGAAAGACCCCGUGAACCUUUACUAUAGCUUGACACUGAACAUUGAGCCUUGAUGUGUAGGAUAGGUGGGAGGCUUUGAAGUGUGGACGCCAGUCUGCAUGGAGCCGACCUUGAAAUACCACCCUUUAAUGUUUGAUGUUCUAACGUGGACCCGUAAUCCGGGUUGCGGACAGUGUCUGGUGGGUAGUUUGACUGGGGCGGUCUCCUCCUAAAGAGUAACGGAGGAGCACGAAGGUUGGCUAAUCCUGGUCGGACAUCAGGAGGUUAGUGCAAUGGCAUAAGCCAGCUUGACUGCGAGCGUGACGGCGCGAGCAGGUGCGAAAGCAGGUCAUAGUGAUCCGGUGGUUCUGAAUGGAAGGGCCAUCGCUCAACGGAUAAAAGGUACUCCGGGGAUAACAGGCUGAUACCGCCCAAGAGUUCAUAUCGACGGCGGUGUUUGGCACCUCGAUGUCGGCUCAUCACAUCCUGGGGCUGAAGUAGGUCCCAAGGGUAUGGCUGUUCGCCAUUUAAAGUGGUACGCGAGCUGGGUUUAGAACGUCGUGAGACAGUUCGGUCCCUAUCUGCCGUGGGCGCUGGAGAACUGAGGGGGGCUGCUCCUAGUACGAGAGGACCGGAGUGGACGCAUCACUGGUGUUCGGGUUGUCAUGCCAAUGGCACUGCCCGGUAGCUAAAUGCGGAAGAGAUAAGUGCUGAAAGCAUCUAAGCACGAAACUUGCCCCGAGAUGAGUUCUCCCUGAGACUUAGAGUCUCCUGAAGGAACGUUGAAGACGACGACGUUGAUAGGCCGGGUGUGUAAGCGCAGCGAUGCGUUGAGCUAACCGGUACUAAUGAACCGUGAGGCUUAACCUU
rnacentral:rRNA from 2 species